rnacentral:rRNA from 1 species
UGAACGCUGGCGGCAUGCCUAAGACAUGCAAGUCGAACGAGAUGUACCAAUGAAGAUUGAGUGCUUGCACAAAGUUGGAUUUGGAUUUGCAUCUAGUGGCAGACGGGUGAGUAACACGUGGGUAACCUACCCUGAAGACUGGGAUAACAGUUAGAAAUGACUGCUAAUACCGGAUGAUUCAUGAGAAGAUAACUUUUCAUGCUAAAAGGAGCGUUUGCUUCACUUCAGGAUGGGCUUGCGGUGUAUUAGCUAGUUGGUGGGGUAAUGGCUCACCAAGGCAACGAUGCAUAUCCCAGCUGAGAGGCUGAUCGGACACACUGGGACUGAGACACGGCCCAGACUCCUACGGGAGACAGCAGUUAGGAAUAUUCGUCAAUGGAGGAAACUCUGAACGAGCAAUGCCGCGUGAGUGAUGAAGGUCUUUAUGAUUGUAAAACUCUGUUGUAAAGGAAGAACAACUAUCAUAGGAAAUGAUGAUAGUCUGACGGUACUUUGCCAGAAAGCCCCGGCUAACUACGUGCCAGCAGCCGCGGUAAUACGUAGGGGGCGAGCGUUAUCCGGAUUUAUUGGGCGUAAAGCGUGUGUAGGCGGUUUAUUAAGUCUAAGAUUAAAGCCUGGGGCUCAACCCCAGUUCGUCUUAGAAACUGGUAGACUUGAGUGUGGUAGAGGCAAGUGGAAUUUCUAGUGUAGCGGUUAAAUGCGUAGAUAUUAGAAGGAACACCAGUGGCGAAGGCGGCUUGCUGGGCCAUUACUGACGCUGAGACACGAAAGCGUGGGGAGCAAAUAGGAUUAGAUACCCUAGUAGUCCACGCCGUAAACGAUGAGUACUAAGUGUCGGGUAACCGGUGCUGAAGCUAACGUAUUAAGUACUCCGCCUGAGUAGUACGGUCGCAAGGCUGCAACUCAAAGGAAUUGACGG